rnacentral:lncRNA from 1 species
AGGAGGUGGUGGCAUGUGCCUAUACCUUGCAGACCAUCUCGAGUUUAUCUCAUUUAAUCUGCAAAAUACUCUGAGAUAGGAAAUAUAAUCUGAGAUGAUCCCUGUUGCCCAAACUCCCAGGUUAGUGAAUGGGGAGGAAGGAUUCGAAUUCAUUUCUCUGACUCUGAAGCUCCUGCUUUUUGUACCAUAUGUCUCUGUCUCUCCCUAAGGCAUGGAGAGAUUACAACCCUUGUCCAAAGUCACUUCAUCUGGAAGAGGUCAGGCUAAACUGAAGGUACACUGACCCUUGUCUAAGUCUUUCUGGAUCAACUUUCAUUGUAAAUAUUUUCUCCCUGAUUGUGCAACGCUCAGCAGUUACUUACCAGGGCUGCAAAGUGAAGAUAAGCUUGCAAGAGAGGAACCACCCACCUCCCCCGAGUGAACCAUAGGCAAUUUCUGAAUGACUCUCAGGCUGUCAAAGGCAAUUGCCACAAGAGGUCAACGCCAAGGCUGCUCUGCAGAUAUGACCAGGGCUCAUUUUUUCCAUGAUCUUAGAGAAACUGGAUAAGCCCGGGGCAAAUCGGGCCCAGAGAUGAGAUGGGUGAAGUACAGACAUGAAAGAAGCAAUGCCUGGGAAGGUACUCAAGAAAAAGCAUGAUGUGGUGGGGAAGGGCUGCAGCCCAGCCCUGUGCCUGCAUCCCACGCAUUUCUACUUGAUUCCUUAGCUCCCUAAACCUUGCUUGUCUCAUCUGUAAGGUGGAGAUAAAAAUAACAGUCUUCUUUUAUUAUGUGAGUUGCAAAUGACAGAGUGCAUGUGAAGGCUCCUGGUGCCAAAAAUGUUAGCAGAAUUGAGUGGAAGCAGAGUGAACACUCACUGAGGGCCGGGAGACUUAGGAGGGAGCUGGACCCCCCGGGAUGCUUUGCUGGAUGACCACAGCUUGGGGAGGGGGCUACUGCCUUUGGAGAAUGGCAACACUAUCAUGCAGCUCAGAAGGCUGGAGUCUAAUACCCUGCUCAGCAACCAGGCAUAGUCCAUUCCAUCACAGAGCCUGGGUUCACCUUGAGGACAGUGAGAACUCAGCCCUGGCCAUGUGGAAGUCAAAGCGUGCAGCACCUACGUACAUGGACCUCACCUGUCAUCCAAGUCUCCAAACCACACUGCAAUACAAACAUCGCCAAAGUAGCAGGCUUCUCUCCUCUGGGUGACAUCCACAGGGCAGAUCUGAGCAACACUUAGUGUCUCCUGGGACCUUCCCAGCCUCGGACAGAAUGGUUGUUAGAGGAACAAGGCACCAGGGGCGUGAUGAGAGCUUAGCUGAAAGGAGAGAAGACUCAGCAAGCACAUCACCUUGA